AUUGAACGCUGGCGGCAGGCUUAACACAUGCAAGUCGAGCGGGGGAAGGUGCUUCGGUACUGGCCUUAGCGGCGGACGGGUGAGUAAUGCUUAGGCAUCUGCCUAUUAGUGGGGGACAACAUCUCGAAGGGGAUGCUAAUACCGCAUACGUCCUACGGGAGAAAGCAGGGGAUCACUUGUGACCUUGCGCUAAUAGAUGAGCCUAAGUCGGAUUAGCUAGUUGGUGGGGGAAAGGCCUACCAAGGCGACGAUCUGUAGCGGGUCUGAGAGGAUGAUCCGCCACACUGGGACUGGGACACGGCCCAGACUCCUACGGGAGGCAGCAGUGGGGAAUAUUGGACAAUGGGGGGAACCCUGAUCCAGCCAUGCCGCGUGUGUGAAGAAGGCCUUAUGGUUGUAGAGCACUUUAAGCGAGGAGGAGGCUCUUUUGGUUAAUACCCAAGAUGAGUGGACGUUACUCGCAGAAUAAGCACCGGCUAACUCUGUGCCAGCAGCCGCGGUAAGAC
rnacentral:rRNA from 1 species